rnacentral:rRNA from 1 species
GACGAACGCUGGCGGCGUGCCUAACACAUGCAAGUCGAACGAAGCAGUUCCGAACGGAGAUUCGUCAAAGUUUGGGAUUGACUUAGUGGCGGACGGGUGAGUAAUGCAUGAGCAACCUGCCCUGCAGAGGGGGACAACAGUUGGAAACGACUGCUAAUACCGCAUGAUGUGCCGAGGGGGCAUCCCUUUGGCACCAAAGAUUUAUCGCUGUGGGAUGGGCUCAUGUCUGAUUAGUUAGUUGGUGGGUAACGGCCUACCAAGACUGCGAUCAGUAGCCGGACUGAGAGGUUGAACGGCCACAUUGGGACUGAGAUACGGCCCAGACUCCUACGGGAGGCAGCAGUGGGGAAUAUUGGGCAAUGGGCGAAAGCCUGACCCAGCAACGCCGCGUGAAGGAAGAAGGGUCUUCGGAUUGUAAACUUCUUUUAUGAGGGACGAAGGACGUGACGGUACCUCAUGAAUAAGCCACGGCUAACUACGUG